AGAACGAACGCUGGCGGCAGGCUUAACACAUGCAAGUCGAACGCGUGUAGCAAUACACGAGUGGCGCACGGGUGAGUAACGCGUGGAUAUCUGCCUUUUGGUUCGGAAUAACCCCGGGAAACUGGGGCUAAUACCGGAUGGUUCCUACGGGAUAAAGAUUUAUCGCCAAAAGAUGAGUCCGCGUCCGAUUAGCUAGUUGGUGGGGUAAUGGCCUACCAAGGCGACGAUCGGUAGCUGGUCUGAGAGGACGAUCAGCCACACUGGGACUGAGACACGGCCCAGACUCCUACGGGAGGCAGCAGUGGGGAAUAUUGGACAAUGGGGGCAACCCUGAUCCAGCCAUGCCGCGUGAGUGAUGAAGGCCUUCGGGUUGUAAAGCUCGUUUUGGCGGGGACGAUGAUGACGGUACCCGCAGAAUAAGCCCCGGCUAACUUCGUGCCAGCAGCCGC
rnacentral:rRNA from 1 species